rnacentral:misc_RNA from 1 species
AUGUCUCAACCACACCGUGAGGUGUGGCUUGGAUUUGGGGGUUACAGGCCUAGUCUGCUCCCCCGAAAUACAUGAGUGGUAACGACCUCUCCAUUAAGAUGUGAUACAUAUCUGCAUCUGGUCGAGGGUUCUGCUGCUAUAUAAGAGUUGGAUUUGAUAA